rnacentral:lncRNA from 1 species
CUUUUUUUUUCUGGCGAGUUCUUUUCUGAAACUCACAUCCAUCUACUCCGCUUGGACAAAAACAACAGCACGGCCUGCUGCGGCUACUAGCACUGACAUAUCAUAUAUAUUCAGAAUAAUAGCUGCUCCAUGUACUCCCUCUUCUAUUUUCAAUUCACGAUGUAGGAUCACGCAUCCUCUCGAUUUGAGGCUGCAAAAUCUUGAAGAAGGUUGGUGAACUCGACAGUUUGCCUAUUUGGGUCAACUAUUACAGAAUCCGUUACUCCUGCAAGCUUCCCACCGACGCAAAACUAAAAUGCGUCCGCACAGACACUUACAUCUGAUGCGUCUAGCAUCCGGAGGCCACGGUAGGAAGAUAUUUCACUUCUGACGCGUAGUUUCUAUACUGACGCUUACAUGUCUUGUAAACGUCAGAGGAAGAUGGAAGCAUCAACUUUGUUUACGAGGAAGUUUCUGACAGGUUGUUGUGCCGAGACGUCAGUAUACUUUUUGAUGCUCACUGACUUCUUGUUCUAGAGCAUGUCAGAGAAUUGUUGGAACUCAUUUUUUACAUGCAUGAAGCGUAGUUGCUAAUUAAUUCAAAUAAAAGCGACGUACAGCUAAUAAAACACAUAAAAAACAGCAGCUAAUAUCGCUGUAAUGCUAACACAUGCCACACAUAAGCUGGUCUGCUCUUGUAGCUGAACUUUGAGGUUUUCAAUCAGUUUCUUCGCUUCUUUUAUCUCCGUUUCGAGAUCUUCUAUCACCCCGUCCUGGGCAGCAAGUUCAAACUCUAGUUUGAGCAUAUCAGCGGACAAUCUGUUGUUCACCUUCUUUUCUUCCUCUAGCAUGCAUGGCUUGCAGCUUCGACACUUGAGUUACCUCCACCAUCCUACCUUCCUCAAUGGACAGGAGGUACUCAAGAUCAUACUCAGGAUCAUCUUCAAGAAGAGAUUUCGCGAGAGAGGGUUUUUUCCUUUUGAGUACGCACUGUGGACCGUGGAUAUACUCCCUCCGUUCCUUAAAGAAUGGCAUAUUAGCUCUCAUUAAGACAAGGCUUUGAUCACAAAUUACUAUAUCAAAAUGUGUUUUAUAUGACAUAAAAUUAAUAUCGUUAGAUUCUUUAUCAAAAAUACUUCAUGAUACUUGUGGUUUCAUGACAUAUAAACCACACUUUAAUAUAGUAAUUUGUGGUCAAAAGCUUGUCUUAAUGAAAACUAAUAUGCCAUUCUUUAAGAACGGAGGGAGUAUAUAGGUUGCUAGACAGCCGACGCAUUUUCAUCCGACAAGAGUCAGUGGUACAAGUUUUUGAAGCUCCAUAACCUUUUGACACAUCCUAUAUAGGAUGCGUCAGAGAUAUGUAUGGAAUCUAUAUAAGUCACGGACGCAGGUCAAAAAGGUAGCGUGUUCAGACUUCAGAGCGAGCUCGGUAUAGGUGCAUGCAUAGCCAUGGCGAAGCAUCGGGAAGACGCUGGUGCUCCUCUUUAUCCGGUUCGUCACCUCCCCUUCCAGUCCAUGGACUGCCUCGCCUCGGCUAUAAAAGCGGCCAGAUGCAGUGCAAGUCAACCAGGAACAACUCCACCAUGGUUCGCAAGAUAAUAGAUGCGUACUACCGUCUCAAUGGGUGGGAGAUUCAGGAGCGACCGCGUUCGUCCAAUCUGCCAGCGUUGGCUGCGCCGGCGCCUCCGAGGGGGCUUCAUGCAGGCUCUUCGCCUCCGCCUCAGCCUCAACCUCAACCUCCUCAGCUGCCUUCGCCUCAGCUUUCUCCGCUUCCUCAGCCAAGGAUUCCACCGUUCACCGUCAGCGAGGCUCCGGCGGCGAAACGGCGUCGAGAAAUGUCCGCGAGGUAUCCGGGUGAUCGUGAUUACGUUUCUUAAAUCCCCUCCGUGUUCUUAUUCAUUGCCUGACUACCUCCUCCCCCAUAAGCACCUUCCUCUUUCCUCCGACCCAAAACGCCUGCUCCUCUUGUUAUCCCCGGCCGCACACCUUGCCUUCUUGGGCGUGGCGUUGCGCAGCUCAUGGAUGAUGUUGCCGACAUAUCAGGGCGCUGCUUGAUCAUGUCGACAACGCUUUGAUGUGUGUACCUUGUAUAAAAUGUAGCAGAUCUUGUAUGCAACUGCAAUGUAAUGUGGUUGACUUCAUUUGAAAUGUAGUAGAUAUUGUAUGCAAAUGCAAUGUAAUGUGAUCGAUCUUAUGUGAAAUGUAGCAGAUCUUGUCUGCAAUGUAAUGUGGUCGAUCUUGUUUAAAAAUGUAGCAAAUCUUGCAUGAUUGGCUCAAUGUUUCCCUGCGAUUUUUAUACUAACAAUUUAAUGCUUGAAUCUGAUGUCGACGGAAAAAAGACGUCAGCUGUAACUUGUUUUUUACUCACGUAAGAAACAUCACUGACGAGUUCUUACUUAGGGAAGUGUCAAAGAUAACAAUUUCUGACGCUUCUUUAGGCCCAAAACUGUCAGCAAAAAUACUCCACUGAGGCUCAAAGAAGACCACUCCUGAUACGUGUCGGUGGACGAUGUGUCAGGAAGUAUUUCCUAUGUGUGACGUGUCUGUACGCGUCAGAAGUUUCCGAGGCAUUACUGACACUUGAUUGCAGACGCGUCUGUUUUGUGUCAGCAUAGAGGUUUUCCGAAACGUCAGAAAUAAGUGAUUCUAUAGUAGUGGUCAGUUGUUCGAGCCAUCGAUUUUGUUCAAUAAUAUCGUCAAAUAAAGGUUCUGUGGAUGUUGUCAUCCCAUGUGUGAGAUGAAUGCAUGAUUACGCAAAUCGGAAAGCCUAGUAUGAUGGUCUGUAUAAAAACUGUGUGAACCUAUUUUAUCACAUCUCAUAGCAUAAAAGUUAACCAAACAAGCUGGACGAGUAAGGAUUCUGCAUAUCUGAACUCUCUGUCUAGUACUGCAUUAUCAUAAAAAAAUGAGGCACUAUAUAAACAACAUUAUCACCAAUCUGAUAAUGAAAAUCCCACCAUAAAGACAAUUUCAUCAAGUAUCACCAACUUGUGUUGGUGUCUUCACCUUGUGGAUUGGCUAGGUUCAUGUGAGGCACAUUCUCGCGUAGUGCUCCAAUAUAAAAAUGCAACACCUCAUCGCACAGUACUAAAAGAAGGUAUACACUGGUUAGCUAGACACCCCAAUCUCGAUGUAAAAAUAUCAUCGAGCAAGGCUUUAAGGAACUCAAUACACGACAAAGCUACAACAAGCUGCAGAGUUUCCUACUAAACAACAUGCAUUCUACUUGAUUAACGUGUAUAUUGAAGCAGUGACAAAUCAUUUGUCUUUCUACAAUCCACAUGGAAGUGCAUAUUGUUAGUGAUGCAACAUCAAACAUAACUAAGAAUACCUAUGAUUUGGCAACCAAAAAGUUCAUUUUCAUAUGAUGCAGAAGUGGCAUACAUGUGACUGGAACAGAUGCCAUUAAACGGGUUUCCAUAUCUAUUGCGAAUAACCAAUAGCAUAGCAAAUGAAAUCGCAGAAUUAAAUAAAUUAUCUAAUUAGCACCCAUGAUUCUACAUUCUACCAUCAAGUGACCAUAGUUUUCUUAUUCCUCAAUGAGUGUAUUUCUUAUCCCUGAAAAUCUAAAGAGCAAAAGGCUGCAGAAUUAUUAAUUCAAUCGAUGUAGUGACUUGUUAAGGAAAAUGUCAAAAGAAGAUAUGAAAAGUUCUCCUAGGAAGAAUAUCAUAAGCAGGCCUAAAACAAGCAAUCGGAAACCAGUCUUGCAAAGAGGUUGGUGAAAGGAGAAAAGAGAAGUGACAUGGCUGUUUGAUGGUGCCCCCAACCAGCCAUGCUAAAAAGCUGACAGGGUAUGCUCAAUUGGAUCUUGUCUGGAUCAUUGGCAAAAUUCAAUAUGAGUCAUACAUCACUCUUGCAUAUUCUUGUUAAAUAUUUGGCAAAGUCAGGAAAAAAAAAGCUAGACGAGAUAAUUGACAAGUCAAAUCUUUACCAACGUUAAACCUGGCACAAACCAAACGGACCAUGAACACUUCGGUGAGUUCGGUCUCUAACGUUCACGUUCAACCCAAAGAAGCACCAAACCGGCGUAUAUUCCUAGGGGCGUCGGGGGCACCGUCCAGUUUUUUUUUUUUUUUUGGCCCACAGUGGCUUGAUGCAAAACCGAGGCCUUCGCCAUCACAAACCGUGCGCUCCUCACUUCUUUUCAAAAUCCGACGGCUGUGAGGACCCAUCCGCCAUAGCCCGCUCGUUCACACCCAGGAGUCUACGCAUCGGGUCAUUUCCAUGUGGGGCUCGGAAAGUACAUGCUAGAAGACCCCACAUGCAGUUACUUGCAGUAUCCCCUUGCUCAAUCAUCCCGUGUGAGCGUAAUAGUUACAGGGUACUUCCACCCAUUCUUUCCGCUAUAAAACUGGGCGGCCUGCCCUAAAGCCUUCUCGCCUCCUCCGCGAAUAGCAAAUCCUCUCUCCUCCUUCCUCCUCCGCUCGAUUUGACAUAGGCUUCUUCUCCAAGCUUUAUCAUGGCGGCGACGAUCCAGUCCGUGAAGGCGCGUCAGAUCUUCGACAGCCGUGGGAACCCCACCGUUGAGGUACGGCGGCCGGAGGCCAACUCAACCCACCAUCUCUCUCCAGUACGGCCCGAUCUGAUUCGAUCUGGUCGGGGCGUAGCAUUUUCUCUCAAUCGAAAUAGUGUCCACCCACGGUAGCACGUCCGAUCUGAUUCGAUCUGGUCGGGCGUCGCGUUUUCUCUCACGAUCUCUCUCUUGUACGGUCCGAUCUGGUCGGGCGUAGCGUUUUCUCUGAAUCGAAAUGGUAGAUCAUUUGCGGGGAAAUUUUGGGAGCGGAAUGUAGGGUUUUGACAGUUUGAUGUAAUAGCUUUCGGAUGUGCUUUUGUUGACCCGGUAUGGUGUAGAUUCUUCGUGCCUCUGCCAAAAACUUGGGAUAAUUUAUCGGAUUAGCGUUUAUCUGGUUUGGUUUGUUCGAUACUGUGGCGCCUACAGUAGUUUUUGCUUACUAUCAUCCAUUGGUAAAAAAAAAUUCAGCAUGUUUAUUGGCUUCUCCGUCUUCAUGACCAAAUCUCAGUUAAAUCUCGCCAUAUGGUCUGGUAUCUCAGUUAAUUCUGUCCAUAUGUUUUGGUAUCUCAGUUAAUUCUGUCCAUAUGUUUUGGUAUCGUAUUUUCCGCAUAUGAACCGAAGAUAUGGUUCCAUUACUACUCCGUAGAAGAUAAUGGAACAAGAACACGAGAUAGCACAUAGUUUAGGUUUGGGGUCGUUGUUACUGGUAGUUUGAAAUUUGAUAAGCUGAUUUAUGUAGGUAGUUGCAGGCUUGCAGAUGGGAUGGGAUGACAUUUCGAUGAUAUAUAGUUUGAUUUUUCAGCUGUCCUUCUGUUACUUGUUAUUGCAUAAUGUGACGAAACUGUAUAAUAAGGUAAGCUGAUUUCAUGAUGUUUGGCUCAGGUCGAUGUGUGCUGCUCAGAUGGAACCUUUGCUAGGGCAGCUGUUCCCAGCGGUGCAUCAACUGGUGGGUUAUUUUUAUCUUCAUUGAUGCAGUUUUGCAAGCUUUAUCGUAUCCCCAUAUUACAAGCUAAUUGGAUGACCCCUCCCCGUUUUAAUAGGUGUGUAUGAGGCUUUGGAGUUGAGGGACGGUGGGUCUGACUACUUGGGCAAGGGUGUUUCCAAGGUUUGCACCUUUCAUGUUCUUACCUCGACUGAGUGAUUGUGAUCUUCCCAAUCUUAUGAACCAGAUGGGGCUUAAUUGGCAGUAGCAUAUAUUUUUCUUCUAUGCCUUUUAAAUCUAUGGUAUUAGUUCUGUAUAAAAAGGAAGCGUUAAUAUUAUGCAUGAUCUGGAUAUGACAAACUGUGUGUGUUUAUGGUCUAUGCUCUUGUUUCGCAUGCUAUAGGCAUAACCGGCCCUCAUAUUUUGUUGUAUUUUUACAACAAGUUUCUUGGUCAUGUAGGAUCAGAAGUUUCUUGUUUGAUGUUUUACAGUGAUUAUUAUUGCUUGCACUAUUUAGUCUUUGUUAUAUUUACAUGUUUUUGCUGUUUUUCCAGGCUGUUAACAAUGUGAACUCUAUUAUUGCACCAGCUUUGAUUGGCAAGGUUUGUUUGUCUUUUCACCCCCAUUCUAUUGUCAUAUGAGAUAUGAAUACAUAAAUUCAUUUGACACCCUCUUUUCAUCUACAGGACCCUACCACACAAGCUGAGCUUGACAACUUUAUGGUCCAGCAGCUUGAUGGAACCAAAAACGAGUGGGGUUGGUGCAAGCAGAAGGUAUACAUUAUCUAUGAUGAUAUUUUUGCCUUUAUUUAUAGUGGUCAUUUUCAGCUGCAGAUUCCACUCUAACAGCUUGACUUCUUAUUUUGUACAUUUAGCUUGGUGCUAAUGCAAUCCUGGCUGUGUCACUAGCUGUUUGCAAAGCCGGAGCUUCCGUGAAGAAGAUUCCGCUGUACCAGGUGUGCAUCGUGUCAAUUUCCUAUGUGAACGUUCUUUAUGUAUUCUGCUUUCGACUCUCCUUAACAUGGUUAUAUUCUAAACUGCAGCACAUUGCCAAUCUUGCUGGUAACAAGCACUUGGUUCUGCCUGUUCCUGCAUUCAACGUCAUUAACGGUGGAUCCCAUGCCGGAAACAAGCUUGCUAUGCAGGCAAUGCUCUGAACUAUGGUUUCCACAGGUAUGUUGUUGUGUUUGGCAACAUGUUAUUUAUACGCAAUCUUUAUAUUUGCAGGAGUUCAUGAUUCUUCCUACUGGAGCUACCUCAUUCAAGGAGGCUAUGAAGAUGGGUGUUGAAGUGUAUCAUAACUUGAAGGUAAAUCUUUCAUCUUGAUCUUUAACCUAUUUGUUAUGCCCUAUAAAAACUAAAUCUAACUCAAAUAUCAAUUUUAUAACAGUCUGUUAUCAAGAAGAAGUACGGCCAGGAUGCCACCAAUGUUGGCGAUGAAGGUGGUUUUGCUCCCAACAUUCAGGUAUUCCCCCUUGUCUUAAAUGGUGUGACCAUGUGAGAUCAAAUUUCCUUUCUUUAUCAUGUCCCAGUGUCUUGAGAAGCUACCGACUGCUAUGUUUUAAUGUAUAGAACUACCCUGCGAUGUGAGAUUAUCAAUUGAAUUCGGGGGUGUGAUUUGAAUUGUCUGUGUUUUCUGAAAUUGUAGGAGAACAAGGAGGGCCUUGAGCUCUUGAAGACUGCAAUUGAAAAGGCUGGAUACACCGGCAAGGUUUGUCUGCAAGAAUUAAUCUGUUGGCCUGUCUACGAAGUUUAAUUUUUUUUAUCUGAUGGACUUUGUUGCUACGUGAAAUGCUAGGUUGUCAUUGGGAUGGAUGUUGCUGCUUCAGAGUUCUACAAUGACAAGGACAAAACCUAUGACCUCAACUUCAAGGAAGAGGUAGUCCCAAUGUUUAUUUUGUGUACACUUUGUUCUUAUCCUUUUCAGGAGUAUUUCUAAAAUUGCCUGACCUUGCUGUUUAGAACAACGAUGGCUCACAGAAGAUAUCUGGGGAUAGCCUGAAGAAUGUCUACAAGUCAUUUGUCAGUGAAUACCCCAUUGUGUCGAUUGAGGAUCCCUUUGACCAGGAUGACUGGGUGCACUAUGCUAAGAUGACUGAAGAAAUUGGAGAGCCAGUGCAGAUUGUUGGUGAUGACCUUCUAGUGACCAACCCUACCGUGAGUUAUUUGUUUUCUUGAGUAUGGCAAUGGUGUUGUUUCCCUUUUAUUUGGUCACUUUAAUUAUUUGCUUCUUUAUGUUUUACAGAGAGUUGCCAAGGCAAUCCAGGAGAAGUCAUGCAAUGCUCUUCUGCUCAAGGUACAAUUUGGUUGAAGCAGAUGGUUUUAUCCAUUCUUUCAGUCUAAUAGUCUGUAAAAUGCAUUCUUAUUUCUGAUUAUUUUCGUGUAUAGGUUAACCAAAUUGGAUCUGUCACUGAGAGUAUUGAGGCUGUGAAGAUGUCAAAACAUGCUGGCUGGGGUGUGAUGACCAGCCACAGAAGGUACAUGCAUGGGAGAUCUUGCCUUGUUACUCUAAUGUUAUUCUCCCUAGUGUUCUCUCGGUACCAAUUGUGUGCUUAUUUACAUUUUAUUUCUGCAGUGGUGAGACCGAGGACACAUUCAUUGCUGACCUUGCUGUUGGUCUAUCUACGGUAUGAUUUUGUACCCUGCACAUUACAGUGUGAACAAUUUAAAUGACCGGCUACUUGUAAUCCACCUCCAUGGACAAGUCCUGAUGACCAGUGUUUCUUUAUCUGAAACAGGGCCAAAUCAAGACAGGGGCGCCCUGUCGCUCAGAGCGUCUUGCCAAGUACAACCAGGCAAGUAGCUCCUAAAGUAUUUAACUGGGAAACAUAUUAAAAGAUUUGAUGCCCAUGCUUUUUUUUCUUUUUGUUUAUCGUUAUCAAUUUGAUGCUUGGCCUUUAUCUCAUGUUUGUGCUUGGUUUAUUCCAGUUAAGCAAAUUUGGCCUAUUUGUACUAAUCAGGCUUAUUUAUUUUUCAAUUGGAACAGCUUCUCAGGAUCGAGGAAGAGCUGGGUGCUGCUGCUGUCUAUGCAGGUGCCAAGUUCCGCGCACCGGUCGAGCCCUACUAAUUAGUGUUUGAACUUUCAGCCACACUAGUAGUAUUGUUGCAUGAGAGUUUUUGUGAAAAGGGGUUCUCCCGCAUUAUCCGUGUGUGGUUUAACAUCCGGAAUGAGCUCUAGUUGAAGCUUUUUAGGACCGAACAAUAAAGUUCCACAUCUAAUGUGAACGGAUAUGUACCCAUACUUGCUCCAAUUUUGGUCUUGUGAUGAGCAUGCCUGGUUUGGCCUAAAUCUGUUGGAUCUGUAAUACAGAGAUUGGCGUUUAUUGGCAUUGGUAUUAUCUCGCCAGCUUGAGCUUGUCUUGUUUUUCCGUUUUUUGAGCUUAGCUUUUGUCUUUCUCCUCUUCAUCAGCAAAGGCGCAUGCUUCCUCGGCAUUUUUACCGCACGGCUGUUGAAAGCUAACUAUGCUUACUCCGUAAGCAGAUUUAUGUUGGGCGAAGUAUCCGGUGAAAACUCUCGUUCGGUGCAAACCGUGUAAACUUCAUAAAAAUCAUGUUUUAAAAUUUCAAAAACGUUAUACAAACCUGCAAAAUUUUAAGUUCAAAAGGAAUUAAAAAAAGAAAAUUACAAUGAAUAGUGUCAAAAACUGAAAGAUGUUCAUGCAGAAUUUGUUUUUUCGUUGCUACCAAAUGAAAUUGAGUUUGGAGUUGAAAUUUUACACAUAUAUAAAACAUCAUUCUUCUAACGUAUGAGUAUUUUGAGAAUUUUUUAAGUGAGUUUUCACAGUAUGCAUCGUUAAGAUGGUUUUCACCGAGUUCAAAGGCUGCAGUAGUUUCAAAAAUCCUGUAUGGAUUGACGUUAACAUUCUUUUACGUUUCAAAAAUCCUGUAUGGAUUGACGCGAAGAUUGAAGAUAAUUGGAUGUAACAAAGAAAACUCCAGACCAAAUACAAUUUAAGUCAAUAACUACGUUUCGCGCAAUGAUGUACCGUCAAGUUUUCUUUGGACUGCGACAGCAUCAACGACAAGAGAAAUAAACAACAUGGGUUUAGCUGUCAAAAAAAAAAACAUGCGUUUAAAAUUCACAUAUUUCCCACCAAUGAUCGAUAAUCCAAUCCCGUGCUUCACAAUAAUGCCUAACAACGAGCAAGGGGCCUGGGCCAAGACUUCUCAAAUCGGUGUAGCCAUAGCAGAGAUAGGCACGGCCUUGGUGAGCGUCACCCCGAACUUCUCGCCCAUAUCAAUCCCACUCGUCUCCACAUCCACCGGAAGCCUCCAACGGAACCGAUGCAACAACGUCCCAAGAAUCAGAUGCACCAUCCUGAUCGCCAGCGGCAACCCGGGGCAAAUCCGGCGGCCGGCUCCGAACGGGAUGAGCUCGAAGUCCCCACCCCGGUAAUCCACCGCUCUCCCCAGGAACCUCUCCGGCGCGAACCUCUCCGGCUCGUGCCACACCGCUUCAUCACGGCCCAUCGCCCACACAUUCACCAGCACCUGCGCCCCACGGGGCACCGUGUAGCCCGCGACGCUCACGGUCGCCUGGGCCUGCCGCGGCAGCAGCAGCGGGACUGGCGGGUGCAGCCGGAAGGUCUCCUUUACCACGGCUUGUAGGUAGGGAAGCCGCUCGAUGUCGGAUUCCGAGAUGUUUGUCCCCGAGGCGAUGACUCGUGCGAGCUCGUUGUGUGCUUUGGCCAUUGAGGACGGGCUGCGGAGAAGCUCCACCAUGGCCCAUUCCACCGUGCUGGAGCUUGUGUCGCUGCCGGCGGAAAACAAGUCCUAAAAUAGGCAGACGUGUCAGUAAACUAGCACAUAUUUUCCGGUCAGUAACUUGGAUACUAACAUAGAUGCCAACUAGACAUUUUUGUGACAUGUCAUGACAAUAAAUAAAGAACGAGAGUGAGGUGGUAACUAGAUAUGAUACCAUAACAUCACACAAAUUAAAACAAAAUAAGUAACACAAUUAAUGACACAAUGCAUGACACCACAUAUAAGUUACUAUUCAUUAUGGAGGCAGUAACUUACACUAGUAAGAUAUGCAUGUUAGUACUCUAAAUUACUCGCCAGUAUGACCAGCCUAACAGAAAAUGCGUUGAAACCAGACGGUUUCGUAAGCAUAUAUUGUGGGGAUGGACGGAUGGCACAAUGUUUUGGGGAUCUUAAUGCAAACGACCGUCGUCCUAUGUUUGAAAGUUGACUUCAAGUGUUUACAUUGGCACAAUCCCCAACGUCCAAUUGUAUUCUGAAACUAUUUUGUGAUAAAUUUAUAGGUGUGACUAUAUCUAAGUUGUCUGGUUUUUAAAUUAACGCUUAAAUCUAAGUUGAAGAAUCAGAACCGUUGGAUUAGCAUCUAAAUCUCAUUCUACCUUUCUCUUUUAUCACCUGCUUCAAAUCUUAAAGCUCAAUUCAUAUCCAAGGGCUGAAGAAUCAAUUUGCCUCUAACUAAAAAUCAGGCAACUUAGAUGUAACCGUAAAUUUAUUUGUGUGUGGAAUGUUCAGGCAACUGGGAUUAGUUAAUCUCAUUUUUCAAUGUAAAUUGACUCUCCGUUUGUUUUAGAAAAACACAACUCAAUAGAAUUUACAAGAAAAUAAUAGUUGGAUCAUCCAUCCAAAUUCCGCUAGGAGCAUAUACAUCAGUGGAGCUUCAUUAGCUAAGGAUUGUGAGUUUGUGACACUAUGUUUGGAAGUUUUUGUAUACAGUAUAGCACGUUGUUUUGUAUGAAAAGAGUUAUACUUGUUCAAUCGAAAAGAUGUUUGUGUAGCUAAUUAAAAACAUGUGGCGGUUUGGCAGUAUGCUGAUCUGAUCUACAUCAGUACUUGUAAAAAAAACAAGUUGUUAAAUCUAUAAAAAUCUGGAUGUAUGGAUGUGUUUCUGUCACGUCGGCCGGUUCCAAACGAAGAAACCAGUACUCCCUCCGUUCUAUAAUUUUUGUCGAAAUCUUACACGUAUCUAAACACUUUUUAGAAUUAGAUUCAUCCAUUUUUACAUAACUUUAAAAUUAGAAUUAUGAAACUGAUGUAGUAGUACGGAAUACAUCUUAGCCUGGCCUUGCCGUCACGUGCCGUGAUACGAGCAGCACAAUGUCAACGUACGUGCAAUUAUAUUACUACGAAAACUAUUUUGCGAUAGAUUUAUUUGCAUGUGGAUAUUCAGGCUAUGAGAUUAGUUUUUUGAAGAGGCGGCUACUGAGAUGAUUAGUUGAUCUUGGAAAAUUUAAAGUAAGUUGACUCUCCAAUUUUUUUCUUAACACAACCGAGUGCUUAUUACGUACUUAUUAGGAAUGUAGUUCAUUAAAAAGUCCUACUCCUUCGCUAGGAAAUUUACAAGAAAAAUAAGGGGAUUAUCUUUAUUUAACUAAGAUUGUGUCAUUAAGUCUGUCAAUAUACUCUCGUCGUCCCAAAAUAAGCGACGUUGGGAGCAGGUCGUUUUAGUACGAAAGUAACAUGUCAGUCUUCCUGGUCAGGAAUCUGUAAAUAUCUGGAUGCAUGUAUCUGGGUUCUAUCACGCUGGCCGGCUCCAAACGAGAUCAAUAGUACUUCUACAGCAUUUCUCGUUACCGUGAAAAGGGACCGCAGCGUGUCGCGGUCUAGCCCGUCCUUCCCGUCGCCUUCACGUGCCGCGAUAUCGAGCAGCACGUCGAGGAAGUCGUCGUCGCCGUCCUUCUUCUUCCCGGUGCCGUCGCCGUCGCGCGCGCGCAGCCUCUCGUCCACCUGGGCGUCGAAUACGAGGUGCAGGCGCGCGAACAUCCGCUCGAGCCGGCGGCGGAGGCCCUGCAGAUCAACCCCCGCCAGCGCCGGUAAGAAGUCGGACACGUUGGGGCUCCCCGCGGUCUCCAUGAUCUCCGCCACCAGCACCUGGAACCCCUUGGACCCGCCGUGGUCGUCCAGGCUCGUCAGAUCGACGGAGAAGAUGGUGCGCGACAGCAGGUUGAGGCUCGUCGCGAACGCCACGCGGCCGACGUCCACCGCCGCGCCCUGCCGCGCCAGAAGGCCCACGUGGGCCGCGAGCUCGGACACCUUGUCGCUCCGGAGGCCCUGGAGCGCGUCGAGCCGGUGCGGGGCGAAGAGCUCCGUGGCCAUGAUCUUGCGGAGCGCGCGCCACCGCGGGGACGCGUGGGGGAGGAAGGGCACGGAGUUCCUGGCGGCGUGGCCGCGGACGGCGUCGUUGACGGAGCGGGUGGCGAAGACGGAGUCUUGCUUCUGGAGGAUUUCGCGGGCGACGGCGGGGGAGGAGACGACCACCGUGGUGACGGCGCCCAGGCGGAGGGACAUGAGGGGGCCGUGGGUCUUGGCGAGGAGGGCGAGGGAGCGGUGCGGCUGGGAGCCCAGGAGGUGGAGGCUGCCGAUUAGGGGCAGCGGGAGAGGGCCUGGAGGGAGGCGGCGGCGUGCGUGGGCGAGGAGGUCGAGUAGGUAGACCGAGACGAGGGAGACGACGAACCAUGACAGGCAGAGAAGAAACCAAGACAUUUGGGAGCUGCUCUGCUCCUCUGCUCGUGGCAAACGGGAGGCACUGAGCUGGAGCGAGUGCUCUUGCUAGUGAUACUUCUAAUGGUAGGGGCGGCAAAAUGCACAACGACUUUUGUUUACUCUACCGAGAGCAUCUUUAGCAAGGGCCUAUCCAGUUUUUAGGGGGUGGAGACGAGAAAAGCUCUUCAGAGCUGGGAAAUGUCUACUUGCAACGGGUGGCAACCGCACCCUGAAUCUGGACUUCUCAAACCACGUUGAGAUUCGUGAAAGCCUAUAUGUAUAGCAAACUGUAUAGUUCUUAUGAAAUUGUAUUCUGCAACAGUGGUCCGUGGUGGGGCCCAGCACGUGGUCUCCCCGAUCUCACGCCCUCCACGCCGCUCCUCCUCCCUGUCCUCUCCCAUCCCGUCGCCGCCGCCUACAUGCCCGAGGACGGCGCCGCCGCAGCCUCGCACGGCACGCCGCCGCCACAUCUCUCUCUCUCUCAGGCACGGCGCCACGUGUCCUCUGGCCGCAGCCAUGUCGCCUUCUUCCUCGGCGCCGGACACGGGCACGGCCGGGGCGGCAGAGUUCUAGCGAGCUCGCGGGCGGAGCUUAGGGGCGUUCCCGCGGUGGUGGAAUCCUGCCGCGACGCGAUUGAGGCCCGCGCCAUGUGCUUCUUCCUUUCCUGCACUGGUAGUUCGAGACGCCGGUGACCCCACUCCACGUCGCCUUCGUCUUCCUCGACGUCGAGCACUGGGCUCGCGGAACUGGGUCACCACCAUCUGGGGGUUCGCGCCGCCGUGCCCAUCCGGGAGCAUCGGACAUGGCGAGAACUCCAUUCAUGGUAGCGGCGGAGGGACGCCGGCUCAGUCGCGGACUCUGAAGUGGAACUCGGGAGGCAUGCCGGACUCGGGGAAGAAGACCCGUGAUGGCGGCGGCGGAGCUUCUUGGAGACGCGGACGGCGCCGCGGACGAGUUCCGCGGCGAGAUCUAGUUGGUGUGGAGGUUGCGGAGCUUCCCGGAGAUGAUGUCGUCGCCAUGGUCAAGUUCAGCGGCGAGAUCUGGCGGCGUGCACGAGAGAGAGAGAGGAGGGUCGGCAGCGGUUCUUCUAGGAAGGAGAGAGAAAGGAGGGCACGAUGGGAACGGAAAGAGACAGGGAGAUCGAUCCACCAAGAGAGGGAAGCGCAGGGGCGAUGGGGAAUCCCACGUGCGUGGGGCCUGAAGUAUAUACCUCCCGUAUUUCUCUUGUAUUUGCAGUUUGCUUGAACACUGGCACAUAUCCCGAGGUUUCGACCAAUGGCACGGAUUACGGGUGCGGUCGCCACCGUGUGCAAGAAAUCCACUCUUUUCAGGAGACCCAUGGAUCAAACCCUCCAGCCCCAUUCCUAGGGAGCCCCUAUCCCAGUCUGUGUCACCUCCCCCAUGCAGCUCUUCAUCUCGCCCGGAUCCUCCAUUAAUCGCCCGGCGCCGCUUCGAUGCCUCUGCCCAUCGCGGGAGGCCUUCUCUGGCUGCGUCGUGCCGCUCCGCCUCAUGGCCCCUUCGCCCACCCUCGCCCUUCCCUGCUAUGCCGUUGAUUUGCCCACCGUGAGGACCAUCCACCCGUCGACGCCCCUUCCCCCACUGCGUUGCUGGCUCCGCCACGGGCCCCCUCUGUCGAAAAUGCUCUAAGCCAUGGCUAGUAAUACUUCUAAUGGCAAUUGUUGAGUCAUCUGUCAUGUUACAUGCUGACCCUAUCUGUCAGAAUUGGAUCAAGUAGUUUGGGUUAUUUGAGAAUACUCAUCUAAAGAGUGGCGGUUCUUUGAGAUUACUAUGGUUCUAUAAAUCCUAACCAUGAAAUGUGAUUUUGUGAAAUUUACCUUUCUUUUUAACAUAACGAUUGCUAAGAAUCAGGAUAAAAAUGUUGUUUUUUUAGGGGAGAUAAAGAAAUGUUGCUUUAAAAAAACUAUAAACGCUGUUUGUUUUGGGCUUCGACUUCCACUUCGACGAUCCAAAGCCAGUUGGAGUUGUUGCAAUAUCCCAAACUAACGGACCCAACUCCCAACUAAGUUGAGUGGUCGCAGCUCAACGUUUCGGCCUUGCCGCCUGAAGUAUGGGUGACGAUGGGUACCCGAUACCUGUUUACCCGACGGGUUUCUACCCGUUUAAUAUACGGGUUUGUUUAAAAAAAUACCUGCGGGUAUGUAAAUGGUAAAAUUUUGUACUUGACGGGUAUGACGGAUACGGGUACGAUAUUGGACCCCCCCCCCCCGAACCCGUAUACCCGUAUACCCGUGUACCCGCACCUAAGUUGUCAGCCCAGCACUCAAAGCCCAUUAACCUAACCCCUGACGGCCUGGCCCAACCCAAAUACACUGCGUAUAUAAGCUGGCCAAAACCCAAACCUAAACCUAAUUUCCCUUUUCCCUUCUCCAGUCCCUCUUCCCAAGCGGCCCCUUGCUUCCUCCCCAAGGCGUCCACCUGCUAGCUUCCUCAGCUCGAUCUCCCUUCUCUCCCUCCGUUCUCCCGAGCCCAGCCCGAAGACACACCGAGCCAUCUCCCUCCUUGCGCCUCUUCCUACCUCCAUCGCCGGCCUCCCUCUCUCCCUCUCCAUCCGGCUGACCGAGCCCCUGCCACCGCUGGAUUGGGUUCCAGCUGACCCUGCCCGCGCCGCUGUCGAAUCCUGGCCCGAAGUCAUGGCGGCAGCGGCGGACGGCUGCCUCAUCUCCUCGGUCGCUGCCAUCCUCGUCACGGCGCAGCGCGGCGCAUGCGACACGGGCUCACGGCACCGAGGUUUCCCACCACGUGCGGCCGCUGGAUCCGUUGUGUGCUAGAAACUGCUGUUGUGUGCUACUGUUGAUGGCGGGUAUACCUGGGCAUGGGUGGCGCUGCCUGAAGCCCGACGUCCCGGGCCAGGCUCGGGCUUCACUUUCCAGUCCCAAGCCCGGCCCGAAAGCCCGAAAUGACUAAACAGGUAUUUUUUUUAGGAAAAAUAGGGCUAAAAAUCAUUAAUUUAUUCCGAAAACAAUUAUUUUAAUGCUAAAAUGGUCAUUUUGUCGGGCUUCGGGGCCGGGCUUCGGUGUUUGCCCAGGUAUAAUGGCGGGUCGGGUAAAAAUACCUGCGGGUAACCCAUACCCAUAACGGGUGACGGGUAUGUUAAAAUUUCAUAACCGACCACGGUACGGAUACGGGUAACGGUCAAGUGUCGGAUCGUCAGUUACAUAUACGGUAGAGCUGUACACGAACCCGUCGGGUUCCACCGGGAGCGUGAAGGCUCGAGCCGAUCGAAUCGAACCACCACAUGUCUCUUUUCCUUCGUCGGACCAUCGGCAAAUUCUCCCCUCGCCGUCGAACCACAACAACAAAACCUACGCAAACCCUCGCUUCCUCAUGCCUCGAGCCAGGAAGCGCCGUGCGCCCGCGGCCGCCGCCUCAGAAUGCUCCCCGGUGCAGGGGGUGACCCCUGGGAAGACGGCGGAGGCUGGUGUUAGGGUUAGGGACGAGGGUGAAGCGAUGGAGGUGGAGCCUGAGGAGGCCAACGGGUUGGAGUCCGAUCAGGAGGAUCCCGACGAAGUGGAGCCAGAGGAGCAGGACCCCGACGUGGAUGAUCCAGAGGAGGCGGAGGAGGACCCUGAGGAAGCGGCGGGCUCCGACGAAGGCGAUGGUAAUGAGGAGGGCGCAGACGAAGACCAGGGUAAUGGGGAGGAGGUGGUGGGGCUUGGAGACGAUUCGGCUGGGGUUGAGUCGGAGAAGGCUGGAAUUAAGAUUGGUGGCGACGAGGAGAAAGGUACGCCGAUUGUUUUGAAGGAAGGCGGUGAUGAAGAUACAUGUAUGGAGCCUGCGGUGGUAGAGAAGCCAGAGGAGGCUGUUAAAGAGGAUGCGAUGGAAAACGACACUGCAAAUCUCUCGGGUGAUGGCGCCACAACAGACGGUAAGUUGGCUUGUCUGGUAUGGAGUUCAAUGAUAAGUGAUGACUUUGUGACGGUAAUAUUUUUGUUUGGACUAGACUUGCGUUACAUGGUAUGGCCUCUGCCGGAGGUGGAAGGUUGAGGGGCUAUGGGGUGGAGAAUCAACAUAUGUAUAUCAAUUAAUAAUGCAUGCAAGAUUGAGAGUUAGUGUAGUCUUCAUCAUUAGGUUUCAUAUCUUUGCUUGUUUAUUGGCGAGAACUUAUCAGUCAAAAUGGACCUACACCGUAAAACUGGCAACUUGCUGAUUCACCUAUGCCCAAUUUGUUGGUUUCUUACAUAAAGUAAGGUUACCAAUAGAUGCUGAGGGCUAUCUGAAUGAAACCAUGUUCACUCAUAGUUGGAUUGUUUAUUGUAGUUUGUUCAUCUAUUAGUAUCAAUAUUAAAAUUUAUUUGUGAGGAAAAAACAGCAACGAGCACCCUUUUUACUUCCUGGUACUGUUACAUUUUUAUAACUUAACUAUAAUCUAUAAAUAUUAACCUUUUUUAUGUAACAUUUCAUGCUGAGCAUCACAUGUGACUAUUUCCUGUUGGAUAUUUGUUUUUGGAAAUUCGAUUUCCAUGCAAUAAUCAUGUUUCUCGUGCCCUAUACUGUAUGUCCAACUAGUCAAUGAUCACAAAGUAGUCACCUUUUCCCCACAUAUAUAUACCCCAGACAUGAAUGAAAUACCGGGAGAAGAACACGAAGAAUCUGGGGAUGAAGGUACUAAGGAUAAGGAUGGCAUUGCUGGCCAAUUAAGUGUCAAUGGUGAUGUGCGGACUGUUGAACUUGACCCCUCAUUGCCAGCGCUGGGUCCAGUUUCAGUGGAGAAUGCUAAAGACCUUGAACUAUUUGUUGGUGGAUUGCCUAAGGAUUGUGCUGAGGAAGACAUUACAGUGGUCUUCUCUCAGUUUGGGGAGAUUGAAUCUAUUAAAAUAAUUAAGCACUCAGCAAGAAAAAAGGGCAACUGCAUUGCUUUCGUUCGUUAUAUGAACACUGAAGCUGCAAAGAAGGCUGUUGCUGAAUUUAAGGAGGGAGUUGAGGUUUUGAUGCAAUGAACCUUUCUGUCCUUCAAAUAAUUUUUCUUUGAAUACGUCUAGUUUAUUGAAUAAUGAUCAUUAUUCUCUUUGAACACUUUUUCUCAGGUAAAAGGAAAAACGGUAACUGUAUCAGCUGCUCAAGGUAAUAAUACCCUUUACCUGGGAAACAUCUGCAAGAGCUGGACAAAAGAUAAGGUAAAAUAUAGCAAGCUUUACCUGUUCUUUAGAAAAUAUAUGGAUAUCAUAAUAUUUUAUAUAUCUAUAUGGUGAUUACUGAUUACCUAUUUCAACAGUGCUAUAGUUAGAACUAUAUGUUGAAAAUGAGAAUAUUCCCAGAUUAGCAAGUACUUAUUGAGGCUACUUGUCUAUUCUAAAGAUCUUGGAAUUAAAAAAGAUGUAUUCUUUAUUUGUGCAUAAAUGGCUUUUUGUUUAACGCCCUUAUGCUGUAAGUGAAAUGUUACUGAUUUUGUUAACAUAAUAGGACUAUGAUCUAAACCUAAGAACAAAUCAAAACACUUCAAUUUGUGGUGUAAUUUUCAUAAUUCACAAAGAAGUAAGUCUAUCCUCCCCCCCCCCCCCCCCCCCAAAAAAAAACAUUGUUAGCAAAGUCCAGAAAACACCCUAAACUACAGUACCAGGCAAAACACCCCUCUCAAGUAUUGAAAUGGAACCGUUCACCUGCCACCCCCUGGCAGUUUCACGGUUGUUGGUUUCCCUGCCACGGCGAAUGCUUAACCGCGCUGAUUGCCAACUCGUCUGCCAUUCUGGCCAAAGGUUACUUCAGCCUGCUCUCCCCCCCCCCCUUCCCCCAAUCCCCUCAAACCCUAGAGCAGCAAGGUGGCGGUGGCAGGCAGGUAAAAUGCGGAGCUAAAGCUUGCCCAGGGUCCCCUGCCCAGCUGGGUAGUGCCGCAGCUCCCCAUUGCUGUUUUUUCCUCUCCACCAUUGCUUUGCUCUUAGAUCUUGUUGCUUUGUCUGUCAUUACAGAAUGGAACAUCAGUUCCUAGGUCCUCGAUUCCACUUUGAUGGUGUUUUUGUGAAUGAUGGUGCUGAGCUACAUUAUGCAGGUGUCAGUUCGAUGAAAUCAUUGAUUGAGGGGGACAAGAUAUCAUUGGCCUACUUAAGUUUUAUGUGAAAUAGUUUGUAUGUUGUACAAUUUAUUCAUCUAACAUUUAAGGAUGGAAGAAAGUAAUCCUCUAUUCAAACAGUGGUUCAAUACAUCGCUAUUCAUUCUUAUUUGUCUUGGCUGUGUUGGUAUAACCACAUAAGAUAGGAACAUAACUCCACCAUCCUUAAACUGUCUCUCUCAUGAUGCAAAAUUCAGCUUCAUUUACUUUACUUUUCCAACUCUCUUUUCAGGUGCUAAAUACCUUGAAAAGUAUUGGAGUUGAAGAACUUGAGAUGAGUUUGCCUGAUGAUCCUGAUACUGGAGGACGAAACAGAGGGUUUGCUUUUCUCAAAUUUUCUGCACUUGACAAAACCGAAGCUGCAUUUCAGCAGUUAUUAAAGCAACGAGAUGCAUUUAUAGACAUUGAUAGAAGUGCAAAUUUUUCUGCUCGAACCCCUACAGAAUCCAGUGAGGAGCUUGCAAUGAAGGUAAAGCAGACAUUGCCAGUUGAAUAUGUUCUGAGAUAGUAAGAUGUCUUUCCUAAAGUUGAGUUGAUUUAUUGUUCUAUUUUAUCACUUUGGCUUCUAAGAGUUAUUUGAACCAGGUAAUGAACCCAUCAUUUGAAUGAUGCUGUGAGUUCAAAACAGUUCCUGACAUGCAAUUCCUUAUCCAUGAGUUAGCUAGGUCUGUUUAGUCAAACUUUUAGAAUUGAACAAAAAUAUUGGUUGAAUAUGUUUGGAGACUGAACAUCAAAGCCAAACAUUAUCCACAACCAACUAGGCCAGCAAAUUUGGAAGGUUUAACUUUUCUAGUUUUCUUUAUACUCAAACUUCAACUUCAGGACUUGUAUUCUCUUGCUUGGACCUCAUUUAUUUUUUGUCAGAGUAACCAGGACUUUUGGUACAUCUACUUCGUUGUAGUGCUGUACAGAGUACACCACUCAUCAAGAACACAGGUUGAAGGCAUAGAAGUGUAGAAUUGUGUUGUCCAUGACGUGGAAGGAACCCCAACAUUUUCAGUUCAUUGACUGAAUUUUUUCCAGCUAUCUUAGCCAUAUACUCAUCGUAUGUUACAAUCUAAUGCAUACAUCAUCUCCCUUCACGUCAUACUGCCAUGCAACAUCCAACACCCAUAGCCUGGUAACUAGCAUUCAGCAACCAGCCCAAUUCGCCUAUUCUCCUACCUUUCAUGGAAGGAAAUCCACUUUGGUCCUGCUGCCUCCUCUUUCCUGUUCCUUAAAUCCGUCCUGCUUGGUCUUGUAUCACACUGAAAACCUUGCAGGAAUGCCUCACUCAGAUUCAAGGGAUUUGUAUACCGGAGUUCGUUUUUGCCAAUUUAAAAAAUUAGGUUAUCCAGGUGUCUCUGGUUCCAGUGAUCGGAUUGUCGUUGGUGGUGGUAGGGAGUCAUUGUGCGCAUGGAGUCAGGUUGCCAACUUCAAUGAUCCAGGUCUAGUACCAUUGAAGCUCUGGAAUGCCUUUGGUCUCGUGUCCAUAUCUCUGGUCGUAUCUGUUCCGAUCUCUGGUAGCCCAGUGUUGUGCCAGUUAUAGGUAUUACGGAACUAAUUAAACCAUUUUCAGAUUUAGAAGGCAACAUCCCAGAACCAAGUUCAGUACUAUGUUUUGUAUGCAGAUCUAUCUUUGAGCAAACCACAUUUCUUUAUCAGUCUUUUAGUACUUCGUACCUGAAGUUAUUUUAUCCCAGGUGUUAUUGUUUCAUAAUUUACUGUUACUUUGUCUGUAGAUUAAAACAGUAUACCUCGAACAUGUUCCUCUUUCUUGGGAUAAGAGCAAAAUCGAAGAAUGUUGUGAAGCAUAUGGGGAGAUACAUGAAGUUCGACUUGUAAAGAAAUCGAGAAAGAAAAUUUCUUUUGUUGAAUUCUCAUCCAGAAUGAGUGCAUUAGCUUGUGUGGAAGGAAUAAACAGUGCCAAGAUUGGUGGUGAGGGUGGUGAGGUUAAGGUAUCUUGAGACCUAAGUACUGCUUGUGUUGGAUGCGAUUUUCAAACUGUUCGUGUAAUUUUUGCUAACUUGCUGCAUGUUUGUUCUCUUUCUUUACCUAGUUGGCUGCCAGUCUUGCUCGACCACGUCGUUUAAAACUGGACGACAGUGCCAAAGGUGGGUUGAAGGUCAAUAGUGGUGCAACUUCUGAAGACGCUAACAGUUCUAUAAAGAAAAAGGACCAGAAAAAGGAGGUUGUGGUAAAGAGUUCAAAUAAAUUGCUGAAGCGUGACGUGGACAAGCUGGUCUCACAAGUUGAUGCAGAAGUAGCACAAACAUCCAGCCGUUAUAAGGGCAAAAAGAAAUCUGGAAAGAACGAAAGUACCUCUGUAAAUGAAAGACCAUCGAAGAAAGCACGGAAGAAUCGUAUGUUCCCUCUUGACAAUUUUGGUUUUAUUUUGUUAAUCAAAACAAUUUCUUAUUCAUGUAAACAUGCAGGAGAUGUUCCAACAAGAUCAUCCAACAGAACGCGUCAUGGUGGUUCUUCUAGAGCUGCAUAUGGAGGAAAAUCUGCUGGAAAUAUGAAGCUUUCUGCAGGAGCUCGAUAUGCAACUAGCUACCAAUCUUACCCUGCUGCGGGUGCAUCUUCCAGAUCUAAACCAAAUUCCCGUGACUUGGUAAUGCAAGCAAAUUCUUGAUCUUGGUAUUCUUAUUCUCAUAAUUAUACGGCACAUAUGUUUCAUGUAUACAUUGUACUUUUGUCAUUUUUUUAGGAACCUCAUGCUGGAUACAUCCCUCCUGCAAAUCGUAUUCCUGCAAAUCAUGUUCAAAUCACCUACGUGUAUGAUCAGCCGAGGUUUAUUUUCCUUUUAAACUUGCCUUUUGUUGGGUACUGAUUCGAUCUUUACAGAUCAUGUAACUGAUUAGGGGUUUUCCAUGGUUUUCAGAUCUGCGCCAUCCACUUUCUGUCAUAUUGAUAGCGUUCCUCAUGCUAGAGGUACCGUCUUGAAAAUUGUUUAUUCCAUGUACAUGUGAAUAUUUUUAUUAUCUGUAAUAACUGCACAUAAUGGUCACUAUAGUUAAGUUGAGACCUACAUUUAAGUACUCCCUCCGAUCCAUAAAGAGUGUUGCCCAUUUUGUAGUACUCCCUCUGUUUCUUUUUAUAGGGCGUAUAUUAUUUAGCACGAAUAUUAACACGGACGUAACGAUCGAUCUCAGGAGCGCACGCACCGUCUCGCGGAUGGAAACUGCCCUGUUGACCUGGUGAGUUAUGGAGAAAGCUGGCUUCUCUCUGAUGCUUAACUGCCUCCGUGUGAUUAGCUGCAUGCGCGCAUGCAACAGCCUGGACUAAUUUUCAGUUAGCCAGCGCGUGUACGAGUGGCGGCGCGCGCACGCAGAUCGCGCGGGCGGGUGGGCGGCCGGCGCAUGCCUUACAUUUUGGAAAAAGAUAAAAAAACGCGCCCUAUAUCGAAAAACGGAGGGAGUACAAAUUUUGUACUAAGUGGGCAACACUUCUUAUGGAUCGGAGUGAGUAUACCUGAAAGUUGUAUUUUUUUAAGCCCAUUUUACAAUGCUAGACUAUUGCCUGAUCCCAGAAAUCACCGUCUCAUUGCAAAACUGGGCACUUUACAACCUUAAACCGCCGAAACUAGUUUAGUCAGACGUUUUUCAGUGGAACAAAUCCCCAGUGGCCCGAUGAAAACCUCUACCUCUUAAAAUUAUCUGUCUCUCUUAGACAACAACAAGAAUGUUGAACCCCCCUGGCUCACCUCGGCCAUCUGUGAUGUAACGCUACUUCAACAAUGCGCCAUACUGUUGUUAUAUGUAUGCAUGUCAGGAUACAGUGACACUGAUAAUUUCUCAUAUGUCUCUGAUUUGUCUUGGAGAAUUAGCAAGCAAGUUUGGAUACUUUAAUUCCCAAGACUUGGGCAAUAGGAUACACCCAAGAGUCCAUUAAACACAUGCAGCUCAGGAUAACCCUAGUACAGCCUUGGAGGGAGGGAAGGAGUCUGGAUUGCUCUAGGGUCUAGUGUUGGCUCUGGAGCUCUACACAGACUUGACUUGUAUCUCUCCAGAGCUGAAAAGGCUAGCACGGUGGCUCUGCACUCCACCCACAGGCUGCAUGCCACCUCGGCCUAUCAUACUGGUGCUGCCUGCCUGCCUCUGCCCAUGCCCUAUUGUACCCAUCGCAGCCUGGUUCCUCAGUAACCACAACUUAUGCCUGAUGGAUGUUCUGCUUGGAGUUGGCCAUACUUUUAUGCAUGUGCAGGCUAAUAUGGCAGAAGACAAGGAGAUGUGCUGAAGAGGGGGAUGCACUUCUAAUAUUUAACUGACUGUUGCAGCAUAACUAAUGAAGUGUAUUAAGAGAAUGGAACAGACAAUAAACCCAGUAGCUUGAUUGGAACUUUUCUACAUCUAUUGCUCCGUUCCUCCGUGGAACUGUGAUUGUGUGACUAUAGGGUUUAGGAUGAUUUCAGCCGCUCAUAAAAGAAAACCCUUAAAGCAAAAUCUGUUCCUUUAGUACUAUACUGAUUAUUACGUAGCAUUAGUUAAAGCAACAAUAUAUUACUGGCAUUCGAUUGAAUAUUUAUAAGUUGGUUGGUGAGUCUUUACUCUUGAGCUCUGAAUUUGACAAUUUAUAAGAUUCAAGUAGGAUACAUUUUCUCAGUACCAUUAAAUUGAUUUUGUUUGAACUCAGCUAUAUUCUUAUCACCACUUGUUGAUAUUCUGUUACUUGAUGUUUGAGAUUGGCAAAAUUUGUUCCAUCAUAUUUUUUUUCUCUUGUUGCUUUUCUUUUGGCAGAAAUAGGAGCUCUGCAACCAACCUAUUCUAUUUACACAAGCAAUCCUCAAUACCAGGUUUGUAUGCAUGUCUCACUUGUUAACCACAAUGACUUCUUCAUUUAGUACAUGUGUUCACUUUGAAAUUGAUUAGUUAAAGUUAAUAUACAGUUACACAUAUUCCGUAAGUGCGCCAUGCUGCUUCAGUUCUAACUUCUACCAUGUAUGGUUGGUUGCUUAUAAAAGAUGCUGCACUCGUCAGAAAUUAAACCGAUACAACUUCCAAAAUAUGUACUCAUCCUGAAUUCCUGACGCCAUGAUUAAAAGGCAGUUGCACCCUAAAAGAACAUUUCCUUUUGAAAAUCAGAUAAGUCAUGUGUUUUCUGGGUCUGACCAAUCUAGAAAUUGCAAAGCCUGUGCCAGUCCAUUGAAUCACUAUAUCUUUAAACAUAGCUCACUGUUGACUUUGCAGAGUCUCCUGCAAAACUUUGACUAGGUUUUCUUAUAGUAACAUCUAUACCUGGGCAUUUCUCGGGCCGGGCUUGUAAAAGCCGGAGCACCGAAUCCAAAGCCCAAUCCCGGAUUUUCUUAAUUCUUAAGCCCGAGCCCAGCCCGGCCUGAAGCCUGAGAAGCACAUAUGCAUAGUCAGGGCCUGUUUGGGAGGGCUUCACUCCACCUAAACUUCACUUCAUCUCCAAACUCCACUUCACCUCAGCUCUACUCCACCUGGUAAAUGCGUUUGGGACAACAAAGCAGCUCCAGACUUCCAUUUCCCUUUUUGCUGAUUUUUUCUUUUUCUUUCCAUGGAUCGAUCAGCUCGUGUGUGUGCUAGUGUGAUUACGAAGUGGUAGACGUCGUUGUGAGCUAGUGUGAUUAACAUAAUUGUUCACGAACUGAUAGACUGAGUGGCCGAUCGAGGCGGAUGAUCCUCUUUCUGGUUCCAGGCGCAGUUGACCGAGUGACAGAUCGAGGCGGAUGGUGCUCCUUCAGAUGCCGCAAGAUCCUGCAGAGACAAUCACGUCGGCGGCCAAAUCAGGGAGUAGCAGAGAAUAGCAGACAAGGGAAUGGCACAGGACGGCGAAUCAGAGAACUGGCGAACGAAUCCCUGCGGCGGCGGAAAAAUCUAGAGAACUAGCGGCAGCGAAAUCUGAAGAACUGGCCGCGGCUUGGUGGAGGUUGACGGGGAAACGAGUUGGAGGAGCGCGGCCUCACUGGAGGAGCAGCACAGCCUCGCCUACGGCUGGAUGCGCCGCCAUGGGGAGACAAGAGGAAGAGAAGAAGUUACGCGGGUACAAGGAAGAGGAGUGAACCAGAGGUUCUAUUCGGGUGACAAGAUAACGUUUCGGGGUUAAUGAGUGGCAUUGGUGGGUAAAUUAACCCAACUUUAGGUGAAGUGAAGCAGGUGAAGCAUCUCUUUCUUGACUCCACUAAAAUGAACUAGAGGGUUGUGCUACUUCACUUCACCUAAGAUAUGGAGUUUGAGGUAUUUGGGACAACUUCAUCUACUUCACUAGUGAAGCUGUGAAGUGGAGCUGUCUCUAACAGGCCCUCAACUUCAAUCAAUGAAUGCACGUAAAAUCAACCAACACACAGACAGUCAAUCAUCAAUCAGUGCCUUAAAGGCAGCAACAGCAGCGUCUAAAAAUAAAGCAGCAACGGCAGCGGUCAGAGAAUUUUGAAGAUGGGCAAAUGGUGAGUGAUCAGUGCAAAUAUAGAGGUUUUUGUUGGUUCUCCACAGGGAGUGAGUUCUGAAUUUCAACAGAUUCUCAAAGCUAGACUCGCAGGGUUCAGGUCUUGUAAUUUUCAGAACUGAAAUAAAGAUUAAAAGCUACUGGAUCUACUAAUUUUGGUUGUUUUUGGUUUAUAAAACUGCAGGAAUAACACAAACUUUAGUAACACUAUGAACUACAGCAAGCAAAUUGACAAGACAGGGUAAGAAGCAAGGGUUUUAGACAGGGAAGAGAUCACAUCAGAGGGGAAUUACUGAAAUCCAAACAUGACAGCAACAACAAACUAAAACUUGAACACUUUACUGCACUUUUGCUGAAUUCAACGACAAUUACAUGAACUAGAGCAACGAUUAACACAGAAUUUAGCACAACAACCACAGAUCUAAGCACUGUUUUACUAGAAGAAGGAGAGAUUUCAGCUAGGGUUUCGAAUUCAGAUUACACACAGCAAGGGAAGCAAGGAAAUAGGCAGGGAAGAGCUUGGACUUUUCACCAGAUUUCUGAGCAAGGGAAACAAGGAAGAAGACAGGGGAGAAGGUGAUCUUCAGGGCUUCAUCUUCAAGAACAGGGAAUUCCAUCUCCCUCCAUGGUUUCUUCUCUUCUCUUCUCUUCUUCCUCUCUUCUCCUCUCCUUUUUCUCUGGUUCCUUUCCCCUCACAGAGGCAGGCAGGUUCCUUUUAGCUAAAGCAUGGAGUGGUUGAACUUUUUGGCCUUUUGCAGAAUAGUCCUUCUAGUUGCUUCAAAUCUGCCCAAGAAGAUCCUUCAGGGACUUGUAGUUGAUGAUUUAGCUGCACUUCUUCUAUUUUCCUCCCUCCAAGAUGUAGAAUUUGUGCCUAGACGCACAGAUCUGCAAUAAUUGCACUAAGCAUGUAAAUAUGCUCAUUUAAGAGUUAAUCAUGUAUUAAACAUUAAUUAAGGACUCAAUUAAACACAAAGUGGGAGCUUAGCUUCUGAAAAUGAACAAUUAAUAGUGAAAUAAUCAUGCUGAUCAGUGAGCGAAUUUGGAAGGGCUUGCUUUAGAUCCGAGACGGACACGAGUUGGGCUUCAGAUCUGCAUGGUCGGAGGUGAUGAUGCCGUCGUGCGGCCGGAGGAGAAGACGCUAUCGCGCGGCCGGAGGAGAUGAAGGCGCCAUCUCGCAACCAAUCCCUCCAUAACAGUGUAGUGUCAUUGUGUCUGUUCCUCCGACUUCUUUGGCUGCCUCUCCUCCUGCAGCGCCUCCUCUUCUGGCAGUCAUGCCUCAAUAACCCGUCCGCCACUGCCUCUCUUCUUUUACCACCUCCUAAUCUGGCAGAGAGAGCUUGUCAGAGACUUGAAUCAACCGAAACCAGGUCCAGCUCGAGGGUGAAGGAAGCUCAACGGAUCUGGUGAUAGAAAAGACUUGAGGCAAAGUUGGGGUAGAGCGUGAGCUCUAUCGAUCUGGUAAAUAAUCAAGCUAGGGGAGCCCUUGUCGAUGCAGUGCUGGCACUUCUGGCCUUCGCUCUCCAUUUGGCCUCCUAAAUCCCUGGGGAACGGCUUGCGGUUAGGGGUGAAUCAUGGAAGGCAGGCUGCCUUUUAAAACACUGAGUAGUAACAUACAUAAAUACUGCUAUAUCAAAUUUAUCUGGCCUCAACACAUCAUGCAUGCACCAAAUUCUAAAAAAAAUUAAAUGACUAUGCAUACCCCUAUUAAUUAACCAUUCAACCAUUUCCGAAGCAUUUUGAUAAGGGUAUGCUCCCUCCGUCCACAAAUAAGAGUACUUCUAGAUAUGUUUUAAGUCAAACCUUUUAAAUUUGACCAACCUUAUAGGAAAUAGUAGCAACAUAUAUGAUAUCGAAGUGGUAUAUUAUGAAACUGUAUUUGAAGACGGAUCUAUUGAUAAUAAUUUGGUGUCAUAAAUGUUGCUGGUUUUUCCUCUCUUUUUUUGGCGGGUGGUUGCUGUUUUUUCCUACUAGUUGGUCAAACUUUAAAAACUUUGACUUAGGACAAAGGUAAAAUUACACUUAUCCGCGGAUGGAGGGACUCUUGAGUUCCUUGAUGGACAGUUAUUUUGAAACAGAAUAUCUCGAGGUUGAGGACAGAUACAGUGAAAUAGAGGGAGUAUAUAUAUUGAUUAUGACGUGUUUCCAGAAUAAACCUAAUGAUAUCUUUUCAUAUGGUUAAUCUCGAGACCCAAUGUUUUCAUGUUUGACCAAUCGGAUUCUAUGGCAACCAAGGAGGGAUUUGAUUAACCCUUCCGGUACCUGCCUUGUCCAUGCCAAGAGUCCACUUUGCAUGGGCUUUAUACAUGGGUUUUAACAGUACAUACUAGAAAAACAGUUCAAUGCAUAUUUGUGAAAUUACUUUCCAAUUAAACCUAUUGACUUUUUUCCGUGCCGAAAUUUUGGAAGUUUGAGCAUUUGACUGGUUGGAUCCCACUGCAAUUCAUAUUUAGGAUGGAAAGAGUAUUUCGUAGGGCUUUUGAGAACCUUCACUCGUCAUCUUUCUGAAGUUCCGUGGUCACCUGGACCGUCUCUGAGUUAGUUUUAUCCUUGUGCAGGGUGGAUACGCAUACACUUACCUUCCUCCGCCUCCAAGUGGAUCCUACCGUCUAGGAAGUGGUGCAUACAGUCCUCCAAGGAGAUACACUGACUACCGCUGAGUUCCUCAUCGAAACAGAAUGGCUACAGUUUUCAGGAACCCUGGUGCUGUUCUUUUAUGAGAUGCUGAUGGUGGAAAUAAAUAAGUUCAAUUGCGUGUACAUGUGAUCUUUGCUUUCGGUUUUGUUGAGAUUAUGUUCCAAUCCAAGAAAAUUGUUUUAAAAAAAUGAACCUUGGUACCUCUUGCUUCUCCGGUUCUACCCUCGUUAACAAAGUGAUGAUAGGAAAGUGCGGCAUGUACUAUGUUUUCUUUUGAAGAUAACCCGUAUAGGAAAAAUGUCAGAUGGUUAAAUCAUUGUGCAUCUGCAUUUCUGCACGAUGAAAAUUCUGCUACCCAAAGAAGGCCUCAAACUUUGGACCAUAAUCCAUAAAUUGUUAAACUUGUCUCCCUUAUGAUGAGUAGCUUAAUUAUUUUGUAUGAAUUUCUUUAAAAUUAUAAACAUCCUAAACCACUGAAGCAUUUUUUUUUAGGAAGAACCACUGAAGCAUUGUUUCUAAACAUCCACAUCAUCAACAUUAGAUUAAUAUAAGAGUAUUUGAUAAGCCAUUGAACCACGGGAGCAUUGUUCCUCGGAAUCAUCCUUCAGUGUAGUUAAAACUCUGCCUUCUCUGUCCAGUAGAGGUAAUUGAGGAUUUGGAAUAGCAUGAGAGCCACAAUGUUGCUUCAGUUGGAUGGCAUGUUUUUCUUCAGGCAGCAGUAAUUUGUAAGCGCUAUCCCAAACCUGGCAAGAAUGUAAGGAGCUUAGAAACAAGUUUCAGAGAAUGUCUUAAGCUUAGAGCAGUCUGUAUGUACGGUUGCAUCUUGAGAUGUACCUCAGAUCCUAAAUUCUUGUCAUGGUUCUAGCUCAAAUUUGAACUAAAACAACGAUAGAAAUUUAUGCGGAGGGAGUACCAUAUAAUAGAAGACAUCUCAGACCUGUUCAGAUUAGCAAAGUGCUUGAUUUUGUUCUUAGAUUCAGUUAGAUUUUGUUUAGUUCUGGCUAGAAUGGUUUGCUCAGUCUUCCAUUGCUGUCCUUCAUCAGCAUUAAUAUCUCCGCGUAUACUGAGCUCAUUUAGUUGACGAGGGGAAUAUCCAAAAAGAGCCUGAAAUGGAGAUGUUCCGACAGAAGUAUGGUGACUAGAAUUAUACCAAAACGUAGCAAGUGAUCCUAUAAAAAAAACUUAGAAAGUGAUAGCCAUUGACAUCCUUUCUUUGGUUCUACAAAUGAGAUAGGAUUCUAGGCAUUGAUUAACACUUUCAGUUUGACCAUCAGACCGAUGAUGAUGAGCAGUGCUCAUUUCCGGUGUAACACUAAGGCUUUUUGAACAAUACCAACGCUCAAGGCUUUGAACAAUACCGACACUUCUUUGUCUGUCGUAGAUUCUGUACCGUGGUGUAGUGAGAAUCCACAUCGGCCAGGCCGAGAUCCAGGUCGGUAGAGCAUCCUAGGAGUUCCACUGCCUCAUGUAAGGAAUCCAGCAGGGAUGACACCAUGGCACAUGAUGCCUUUCCAUCAGCUUUGCACGGUGUGAGAGUGGAGGCAGCGGCGCCUCCCGGAUCCGGGCCUGAUCGGGGUGUGAUCGGCCAUUGAGGCGUCGUCCUGCUGCACCGACGACUGAGGGAUCGA